rnacentral:rRNA from 1 species
CCAACAGGGAUUGCCUCAGUAACGGCGAGUGAAGCGGCAACAGCUCAAAUUUGAAAUCUGACUUCGGUCCGAGUUGUAAUUUGCAGAGGGUAUUUGGAAAGCGACAUGGGCCUAAGUCCCUUGGAACAGGGUGUCACAGAGGGUGAGAACCCCGUACGUGGCCACAUGUCAGUUUCAUGUCAAAUCCCUUCGACGAGUCGAGUUGUUUGGGAAUGCAGCUCAAAAUGGGUGGUAAAUUUCAUCUAAAGCUAAAUACCGGCCAGAGACCGAUAGCGCACAAGUAGAGUGAUCGAAAGAUGAAAAGCACUUUGGAAAGAGAGUUAAACAGUACGUGAAAUUGUUGAAAGGGAAGCGCUUGCCAUUAGACCGAUUCAUGAGCUGCAGUCGGAGGCAACUCUUGACGUAAAGCACUCGUUUUUCGGCCAGCAUCAGUUUUGAUGGUUCGACAAAGACGUGGAGAACGUGGCUCUUCGGAGUGUUAUAGCUUCGCGUGUAAUGGAAUCUAUUGGGACUGAGGACCGCGCUUCGGCUAGGAUGCUGGCGUAAUGAUGGCAAGCGACCCGUCUUGAAACACGGACCAAGGAGUCGAUCAUCUAUGCAAGUGUUUGGGUGGAAAACCCAUACGCGGAAUGAAAGUGAACGGAGGUGAGAACCGUAAGGUGCAUCAUCGACCGAUCCUGAUGUCUUCGGAUGGAUUUGAGUAUGAGCAUAGCCGAUCGGACCCGAAAGAUGGUGAACUAUACGUGAAUAGGGUGAAGCCAGAGGAAACUCUGGUGGAGGCUCGCAGCGGUUCUGACGUGCAAAUCGAUCGUCAAAUUUGCGUAUAGGGGCGAAAGACCAAUCGAACUAUCUAGUAGCUGGUUCCUGCCGAAGUUUCCCUCAGGAUAGCAGUAACGUUUUCAGUUUUAUGAGGUAAAGCGAAUGAUUAGAGGCCUUGGGGUUGAAACAACCUUAACCUAUUCUCAAACUUUAAAUAUGUAAGAGGUCAUUGUUGCUUAAUUGAACGAUGACAUUGGAAUGCACCGUUACUAGUGGGCCAUUUUUGGUAAGCAGAACUGGCGAUGCGGGAUGAACCGAACGCGAGGUUAAGGUGCCGGACUAUACGCUCAUCAGACACCACAAAAGGUGUUAGUUCAUCUAGACAGUUGGACGGUGGCCAUGGAAGUCGGAAUCCGCUAAGGAGUGUGUAACAACUCACCAACCGAAUGAACUAGCCCUGAAAAUGGAUGGCGCUCAAGCGUGUGACCCAUACCUCGCCGUCGGGGUAGAUACGAUGCCCCGACGAGUAGGCAGGCGUUGAGA